AAACCUCCCCCCCCCCGGCAAAAUGGCUGGGGCUUUCAGCAGUGCUGCAGACCGCUCACUGGCUUCCACUAGCUUUUUGUAACCAUGGCAACAACCAACAGACUGAGCCACCAAGCAUGGUUGAUCAUGUGCAGCCCUCCUCCCCACACGGGUGGUUAAUUGCUGUCUGUCCUCUGGUUAUGAUGAGAAGGGUGCUGAAAAAUUGUGAAGUCCAACAACUUGAAAUAGAGUUAUGCACAAAAUUAUGGAGCCACUAUACCUCCACAAGGAAUGAAUGACAGAAGCCUGGAUGCGCCAGUACAGUGAGAGGAAAUACCCUGUUGCUGAUGCAUUUGGAUCCCACCAAAGGGAAUACCUCCAUGUGGUUUCAAAACAGUGAUUAACUGAGAAGCAUGAAGUCUGAAGCCCACCUGGAACAUCCAAAGAAUGCGCUCAUCAGCUGUAGUCAGAUGAACCACUAAGAGCUGCAAUUAAGAAUUAAGAAAGUACAAGAAAGGGGUGAUCAUAUACCCCCCCACAUGGGUAGACGUUCAAGUUGAUUCACAUAUCCAGAUGACACUCUUUUUUUGGCCAUAGAUUGUUUUGCAGGGGCAGAGAGAUGCAUUUUCUCCAGAAGGAUGCUUACAUGAGCUCCAAACAGCUCUGAAAUACACAAAGUUUUGUCUCACAUUAACUGAAACAAGAGCUUGGAAGUAAUAGGUUAACUUUAACAUAUUACCGUAACUAGUUCCUUUUAGGAGUUUCUAAAACAGAAUUUCUUUUUCACUUGAGACAAAAAGGUCACUGGCCAUUUUGGCUCAGAGGUUUCUAGGAGCUGCAGUCCAAGAGAUAAUUUCCCCCAGCUCUGGACCUCAGUCAAAGUUUUUGUCACACAACUGUGUAGUAGUCAGUAGUGGUAAAUGCAGAAAAUGAUAUCCUUGCCACUAAGUAGUUUGGAAAACUCUCUCCAGGGCAACUAGUUAUCCUCUUCUUGUCAGCAUGUUACAUUACCUGCAAACUUAAACGAUGGCAUGUUCCCUUUUAUAUAAUGUAUGUGCAUAGUGAAAAAAAAUCUGUAAUGGAGACAAAUAUCUUUUAAAAGUGUGGAUUAACAGCACGUACACGAUCUGGUAUUUUUAAAUACUAUUCUGCCAAACGUACAAUUUAAACAACAAUACUGUUUGACAGCAUUUCAUCAGUACUGCCGAAUUCUAUUCUGCAAUACAUGGAGUAAUAUAUUGCGGAAUAUAUUCAUUUGUAGAUGAGUUAAGUAUUUGGCUGCAGAGCCAGAGGCUGGGA
rnacentral:lncRNA from 1 species